rnacentral:rRNA from 1 species
UUAAACCCCUUAACGAGUAACAAUUGGAGGGCAAGUCUGGUGCCAGCAGCCGCGGUAAUUCCAGCUCCAAUAGCGUAUAUUAAAGUUGUUGCAGUUAAAAAGCUCGUAGUUGGAUCUAGGGACGCGCAUUUCAAGCGCCCGUGUCGUCGGGUCAAACCGGCGACUGCGUUGGCGUUGCGGGCUCGGUCCGUCGGUGCCACUAAAAGCACUGGCGUGUCAACCGGCCCGCCCGUCCCCUCCUUCUGGAUUCCCGUUCCUGCUAUUGAGUUAGUGGGGACGUCACAGGGGGCUCAUCGUCGUCAUGCAAAUGGCGGCGGUGGGUCCCUGGGGCCCAGAUCGUUUACCGUGAAAAAAUUAGAGUGUUCAAAGCAGGCAGAUCCAAUUCUCUGCCACCGAAUACAUUAGCAUGGGAUAAUGGAAUAGGACCCUGUCCUCCUAUUUUCAGUUGGUUUUGGCAGCGCGAGGACUAGGGUAAUGAUUAAUAGGGAUAGUUGGGGGCAUUAAUAUUUAAUUGUCAGAGGUGAAAUUCUUGGAUUUAUGAAAGAUUAACUUCUGCGAAAGCAUUUUGCC